ACAUAGUCUACUUGUUUAAGGUGUAAAAGAUGAUAUUUUUUUUAAUCCAUUAACUCUACAUGCUUUACAUAUGAAUGCACCAAACAAGCACAAAACAUAAUCCAAACCUCACAUAUGAAGAUAACAGCCAGCCAACAACCACAAAACACAAUCCAAACCUCACAUAUGAAGGAAGAACCGGCCUACAACCACAACACACAAUCCAACAGGGUCAUAACCUUAAAUCAUUGAAAAUUUUCAAAUAAAAUGUAGGCAAAAAUAAUCAUUUCAGCAUAAUUUCAAUACCGACGACAUAGUACUAGCCCACGUACCCCAAAUCGUAACAAUAUAAUCGAGUGUAGGGCAUUCAAGUAUCUCAAAUAUAGUGUGAUAAAAAAAUUAUUAUUUUAAUUUAAUUCAACCUACCUACAAUAAAAAAACAAGUGUAAAAGGAAACUCCUCACAAAUUUGCAGAUUAGGGGUAGCAAGAUUCACAACAUGUAUCACUUGUAGAAGGCUUCGCUCAAACCACCUGCUCCUCAGUCUUGGGGACAUCCAUCCAGCCUUCAUAAGUGCUUGCCCAUAUCGAUUCGUCUACUAUGUCGUCGAGAGAUAUGUUGGACCAUGGUGGCAGUAAGUCGGCGACGAUGAGGUCGCUCAUAUCGUCAUCUAACCCCAAAGAAUCGAGGGUCGUCGAUGGAGGAUCGGAGCUUGUCUUCUUUUUCGUCGUUGCGGCGGACGACGGAUGAUGGAUUUGGGCAGGUUUGCACAGAGAAGGGGUUGCACCGACAGAGAAUUCGAGAGAGAAGUGUAAGAGGCGGUUGUAUUAGAGUGAAGCAAUAAAUUAAAAAU
rnacentral:lncRNA from 1 species